rnacentral:rRNA from 1 species
GACGAACGCUGGCGGCGUGCUUAACACAUGCAAGUCGAACGAAGAGCGAUGGAAGCUUGCUUCUAUCAAUCUUAGUGGCGAACGGGUGAGUAACGCGUAAUCAACCUGCCCUUCAGAGGGGGACAACAGUUGGAAACGACUGCUAAUACCGCAUACGAUCUAAUCUCGGCAUCGAGGAUAGAUGAAAGGUGGCCUCUACAUGUAAGCUAUCACUGAAGGAGGGGAUUGCGUAUGAUUAGCUAGUUGGAGGGGUAACGGCCCACCAAGGCGAUGAUCAGUAGCCGGUCUGAGAGGAUGAACGGCCACAUUGGGACUGAGACACGGCCCAGACUCCUACGGGAGGCAGCAGUGGGGAAGCUUCCGAAAUGGACGAAAGUCUGACGGAGCAACGCCGCGUGAGUGAUGACGGCCUUCGGGUUGUAAAGCUCUGUUAAUCGGGACGAAAGGCCUUCUUGCGAAUAGUGAGAAGGAUUGACGGUACCGGAAUAGAAAGCCACGGCUAACUACGUG